UCCUGGCACAUCCCCUCCGAGUGCAUCUCUAGAAUCCCAGAGAUAGAAGGGGCUUCAGACCAUCUUGUUCAAUACCUUCAAUUCACAAAUGGGAAAAAUGAAACCCACAGAGGAAAAAGAACUUAUCCAAAGCCACACAAUGACUCUCUAUAUCUGUGAAAUCACAGGACUGAGCAACAGCAACAAUGUCAAAAUCCCCAGGACCUAGGACAGUGCACUUAGCACAUGGCGGGCACUUCAUAAAUGCUCGUUUACUUGAACCGAAUCGAUCAGCCUUAUUCUGAGAAGAAAUCCACAGGACCCCAGAAGAAGUCCAGACCAGGGGGCCAGGACACAAAAGAUGACAGCAUCCCUGUAUUAAACAGUCAGUGCUUGCGGAAAGAAUCUGAGGACCUGGAUUCAAAUCCUGCCUACUUGACAUUGGGCAAGUGAC